rnacentral:rRNA from 1 species
UCCACGCCCUAAACGAUGUGGGCUAGGUGUUGGCCCUCCAGUGGGUCGGUGCCGCAGCUAACGCGUUAAGCCCACCGCCUGGGGAGUACGGCCGCAAGGCUGAAACUCAAGGGAAUUGACGGGGGCCCGCACAAGCGGUGGAGCAUGUGGUUUAAUUCGAUGCUAAGCGAAGAACCUCACCUGGGCUUGACAUGCUGGUGGUAGGAGCCCGAAAGGGUAACGACCCAGGGCCU